rnacentral:tRNA from 2 species
CAAGUUAUAACUUAGUUAGUUAAGGUAUAUUAUUUACACUAAUAUUUCAAUUGUGCAAUUCAAUUUAAUUUGA